rnacentral:rRNA from 1 species
GUCUCAGGCCGUAUCAGCCUGGAGGCGCCCGAUCUCGUCUGAUCUCGGAAGCUAAGCAGGGUCGGGCCUGGUUAGGAUCUUGGAUGGGAGACCACCUGGGAAUCCCGGGUGCUCGAGGCU